GACGAACACUGGCGGCGUGCCUAAUACAUGCAAGUCGACCUUAGUGGCGAACGGGUGAGUAACACGUGGGUAACCUGCCCAUCAGAAGGGGAUAACAAUUGGAAACAGGUUCUAAUACACUAUACUGAUGGCUUGACCCGCGGUGCAUUAGCUAGUUGGUGAGGUAACGGCUCACCAAGGCCACGAUGCAUAGCCGACCUGAGAGGGUGUUCGGCCACAUUGGGACUUAGACACGGCCCAAACUCCUACGUGAGGCAGCAGUAGGGAAUCUUCGGCAAUUGACGCAAGUCUGACCGAGCAACGCCGCGUGAGUUAAGAAGGUUUUCGGAUCGUAAAACUCUGUUGUUAGAGAAGCGGUAUCUAACCAGAAAGCCACGGCUAACUACGUGCCAGCCGCCGCGGUAAUAC
rnacentral:rRNA from 1 species